UUUGCCUCUGGCACGAGGAGAAAGCUCAAUCGAGCUCGGGAGAUUGAUCUGGCGACAUGUCGAGGUGGGGAAGUGGCUUGCUCCCAGCCCUGUUGCUCGCGGCCAUGCUGCUAUGUGCGUGGCCGCUGGUGGUGGUCGGAGAAGACGCACCUCAAGCUUACGCAUACCCAGCACCUAAGCCAUGCAAUCCAGGGAGCAGAGGACCUUGCUCUAGACCAUGCCAGCCUACGCAUCCUUGUACUGUUCCUCCGUGUCCUCGUCCGCGACCUUGUCCGCCUGGCUCGACUUGAACAGUUCGUCCAAUUUCGUACAACCGGUAGAAUAGUAGGUCCGGCCAGAUCCAGUUAAUUAUGUACUCCUUCCGUACGGAUUAUUUGUCGCAGAAAUGGAUAAAAAUGAAAAUAUGUAGAACUAAAAUACAUCUAGAUACAUCUAUUCCUUCGACAAGUAUUUCCGGACAAAGAGGUGCGUAUUAUAUAAGAAAACAGCACAGAAAAUAUAUAGAAAUAUGAUGUGAGAUUUUUAAUCGUGUUAAACCAAACGUUUUUCAUGGCAAUUAUAAGUUAUCAUGAUGAUAGUAAUUUUUUUUGGCAAGCAUGUCAAAUUCUGACAAAAAACUGAACACGCCAAGGAUUUGCUAUGCUUGCUAAAGAAAUUUGGCAUCAUCACGACAACUAUAAUUGCCAUGAAAAAUCUUUGAUUUGCGACGGUAAAAAAUCUGACAUUCAAUUAGUAGCGAAGUCCAAAAGUACAAAAUUGCAGCAUCUUAAUUUCAAUAAUGAACUUGGAGUGCAUAUGUAUAGCAUGACAUGUCUUCAUGGAAUAUUAGUUCAUAGUCUGUCGCCACCAUCUAUGAGACGAUGACUUUGUAUGAAUGUGUAUCAGAUUUAAAUCAAGUAUCUGUUGUCUCUAUUUU